rnacentral:rRNA from 1 species
GUCGGGAAUUUUGGGCAAUGGGCGAAAGCCUGACCCAGCAACGCCGCGUGAAGGAUGAAAUCCCUCGGGAUGUAAACUUCGCAAGAUUGGGAAGAAUUAGUAGGGGUUAAUACCCCCUAUGAUGACGGUACCUUUUGUAAGCUCCGGCUAACUCCGUGCCAGCAGCCGCGGUAAUACGGGGGGAGCAAGCGUUGUUCGGAUUUACUGGGCGUAAAGGGCGCGUAGGCGGUCAGCACAAGUCAGUUGUGAAAUCUCCGGGCUUAACUCGGAAAGGUCAACUGAUACUGUGCGACUAGAGUGCAGAAGGGGCAACUGGAAUUCUCGGUGUAGCGGUGAAAUGCGUAGAUAUCGAGAGGAACACUGCGGCGAAGGCGGGUUGCUGGGCUGACACUGACGCUGAGGCGCGAAAGCCAGGGGAGCGAACGGGAUUAGAUACCCCGGUAGUCCUGGCCUUAAACGAUGGAUGCUUGGUGUCUGGAGUUAUAUAGUCUCCGGGUGCCGCAGCUAACGCGUUAAGCAUCCCGCCUGGGGA